CAAUCAUCACCUGCAGUAUAUUAGACCAGCGCUCACAACUAGUCCUUGCCAGAUUAUCUGCUAACCCAUGUGGUUCACAGAACCCACCUCUCCAAACUCACCAUACUCGCUUAUGUGGACACUGGUCUCUACUGUACUGCUGCUGUUUGUAAAAAAGCCUCAUUCAUCGUACCAUUCUCAGCUGCCUGCCUCCCUGCAAUUCAGCUUAGUGCGCCGGACUCACCUGGAUCUCUGCCUCUCGCCUUCCCCUCCUGCGAGCAAUGCCUUUGGUCAGCAACAGUUCCCCCCCCCC